rnacentral:sRNA from 1 species
GCCAGGUGCGGUGACGCACACCUGUAAUCCCAGUGGCUCCGGAAGCUGAGGUAGGAGGACUGAAAGUUCAAAGCCAGCCUCAGCAAAAACGGGGUGCUAAACAAUUCAGUGAGACCCUGUCUCUA